rnacentral:rRNA from 1 species
GACAGAGGCCCCGAGCGUUAGUCGGAAUUACUGGGCUUAAAGGGUGCGUAGGCGGCGCGGUAAGUCGGGUGUGAAAUCUCGGAGCUUAACUCCGAAACUGCAUUCGAUACUGCCGUGCUUGAGGACUGGAGAGGAGACUGGAAUUUACGGUGUAGCGGUGAAAUGCGUAGAUAUCGUAAGGAAGACCAGUGGCGAAGGCGGGUCUCUGGACAGUUCCUGACGCUGAGGCACGAAGGUCAGGGGAGCAAACGGG